ACGGUAUAUAUAUCGUACAUAUCAUGGUUUGUAUAUCAUAUAAUAUAUAUAAAACAAAAUAUAUAAUGUGCACAUUAUGUGCGUGCGUGCGCGCAUGUAUGUGUGCGUGUGUUUGUAAAUGCUCCUAAGCACACGCACAUAAAUACAUUUUGUGUAUAAAUUAGACGCAUAAAGAAAAGGACCUAUAAUGGAAUGACCAGUAUGCAGUUCUACUAUACAUGUCACAGAAGGAACCACAGAGCUAUAAGAAAUUAAACAAAAUGUCUACUCAUCUUUUGAUUGCUGCUCAGCAAGCACGGAAUAUUUGAAAGGUUGUCGAGUUGCAAUCAAAGACUGGUGAAGGCAAAAUAACAACAACAAAAGGAUUUUACAGUCGUGUAUUUUUAUCGUUUUGGAAUUUGUCUCGUGGUCAGCACCUGCAGGAAAAACAUGAGUAAGAAGAAUAUUUCAGAGAGCCGAUGUCCUGGGGGAAAGAAAUGACUGGGAAACGUGGGUAGUGUGGACUGUUGGGGUUCGACGCACAAAGAAUGACGAGGCGUGGGAAGACGAAUUGACCAGGAGGAGCCGGAGUGUGAGACCAGCCAGCUUCGAGAAGCAGAAGCCAUCAUUGUAGCAACAAAAUAGACAGACUAGAGACAACAUGUCUGUGAACCAGCUGACGGAGUAUACCCGUUUGUGACUGAAUUCCAGUUAGUCAAGUGGACAUACUCUGAAGACGAAGGGGAUACCCAGGGUACCUGCUGCAUGAAGAAUUUAUAAUUAAGAGGAUGCUAAUGUAUUUGAUGUAGAGAAUAAAGUUUGUUUAAUUA